GUCUAAAUCAGUCCCUGAAUAGAGGGGAAUCAUCCACCUGGUGUCUCAGGUCUAAAUCAGUCCCUGAUUAGAGGGGAAUCAUCCACCUGGUGUCCCAGGUCUAAAUCAGUCCCUGAUUAGAGGGGAAUCAUCCACCUGGUGUCCCAGGUCUAAAUCAGUCCCUGAAUAGAGGGGAGUCAUCCACCUGGUGUCCCAGGUCUAAAUCAGUCCCUGAAUAGAGGGGAGUCAUCCACCUGGUGUCCCAGGUCUAAAUCAGUCCCUGAUUAGAGGGGAAUCAUCCACCUGGUGUCUCAGGUCUAAAUCAGUCCCUGAUUAGAGGGGAAUCAUCCACCUGGUGUCCCAGGUCUAAAUCAGUCCCUGAAUAGAGGGGAAUCAUCCACCUGGUGUCCCAGGUCUAAAUCAGUCCCUGAUUAGAGGGGAAUCAUCCACCUGGUGUCCCAGGUCUAAAUCAGUCCCUGAUUAGAGGGGAAUCAUCCACCUGGUGUCCCAGGUCUAAAUCAGUCCCUGAUUAGAGGGGAAUCAUCCACCUGGUGUCCCA